GGAUUCAGACACGCACAAGAGCUUGAGUUUUUGUUUCGUAGACAUGUAGUUUACUAAUACAUUUGAGCAUCUCCAAGAAGGGGUAGCAAUGAAACUGGUAAUUAGACUCAAAGAGUCUGAGAAGGUCUUCAGAGGAAAGAUAGGUGGGCAGUAAUUAUCACAGAGCAGCUGUUCAUUUUAUUAAACUCUGUUUACCAGAGGAAUGAAACACUGGCCAUCUGGCAUCCUCGGACCCUUUUCUUAGGUCCUCCCCUGAGCUGUGGCUCAUUCUUAAGGUUUCAGGGAGUUGAGUUUGGAUUGUACUGGCUUCAGUGUCCCUUGGCUGCUUGUUAAACCCUUCAUUCAGCAGCUCACACUGGCUAACAUCGGUGGUGGAGUCUGGCCCACACUGAGGGGCUCACAGAGUUUGCAGAGAGGUGCAGUGUCCCCACAGGACUCAAGUGUGCUUCCGUGCCUGCUCCCAUGGCCUGUCUUGCCGCAGAGCCAUCACCCAUGUGCUGGAGGUGUGUUCUAGGGUAAAGCCGUCUAGAGAACUGGGAAUGCAGCUCUUUUGGAGAGCUCUGCCUCACAUGUAUAGCACCCCAGUUAGAUCCUCAGCACUGAACAAGACAAAGCGGGCACCUUAACGAGGUCCUGUGUAAUCAGUCUGUUUCUGCCUGUCUGUUCAGUUUCAACUACCUUCACAUACUCUUGCUGUUUUCUUUGCUGUUGAGACAGACCCAUGUAGCCCAGGCUGGCGCCUAGCUUUCAGCAAUCUCCUUUCUCAGCCUCCCAAGUGCAGGCAUUACAGGCAUAGCCACCAAGAUUGACCUUGUUUUUUUUUUCAAAACAGGCCAUCUAGUACUCAGGUACCAGACGGCCACUUGGAGUUCAGUGCUAGCCUGGGCAAUGGAGUAAAAUGCUGUCUAG